CUUGUACUCUCUCCGUCUGAAAAUACUUGUAGGAGAAAUGGAUAAAACUGGAUGUAUCUAGAACCUAAAAUAUAUCUAGAUAUAUCCGUUUCUCCGACAACUAUUUCCGGACGGAGGUAAUAUUUG
rfam:Triticum aestivum genome assembly, contig: Triticum_aestivum_CS42_TGACv1_scaffold_160870_2DL